rnacentral:rRNA from 1 species
CAGUCGCCGCGGUAAUACGGAGGGAGCUAGCGUUGUUCGGAAUUACUGGGCGUAAAGCGCGCGUAGGCGGUUACUCAAGUCAGAGGUGAAAGCCCGGGGCUCAACCCCGGAACUGCCUUUGAAACUAGGUGACUAGAACCUUGGAGAGGUCAGUGGAAUUCCCGGUGUAGCGGUGAAAUGCGUAGAGAUCGGGAGGAACAUCAGUGGCGAAGGCAGCCCCCUGGGCCAACACUGACGCUCAUGCACGAAAGCGUGGGGAGCAAACAGGAUUAGAUACCCCUGUAGUCCCUGUCUCUUAUAC